rnacentral:rRNA from 1 species
CCUACGGGAGGCAGCAGUGAGGAAUAUUGGACAAUGGGCGCAAGCCUGAUCCAGCCUUGCCGCGUGCAGGAUGACGGUCCUAUGGAUUGUAAACUGCUUUUAUACAGGAAGAAACACCUCUACGUGUAGAGACUUGACGGUACUGUAAGAAUAAGGAUCGGCUAACUCCGUGCCAGCAGCCGCGGUAAU